rnacentral:rRNA from 1 species
AAGGGUGCAGGGCGGAUGCCUUGGCACUAGGAGCCGAUGAAGGACGUGAUAAGCUGCGAUAAGCUUCGGGGAGUUGCACGUAAACUUUGAUCCGAAGAUUUCCGAAUGAGGAAACUCACUUAGAGUAAUGUCUAAGUAUCAUUAAGUGAAUACAUAGCUUAAUGAGGGGAACUCAGGGAACUGAAACAUCUAAGUACCUGAAGGAAGAGAAAGAAAUUCGAUUCCGUAAGUAGCGGCGAGCGAACGCGGAUUAGCCCAAACCAAUAAAGUUUUCU